UACGACUUCUGUUGUCGAGGUGUUGAA
rnacentral:sRNA from 1 species